GUGAGGAAUAUUGGUCAAUGGGCGGGAGCCUGAACCAGUCAAGUCGCGUGAAGGAAGAAGGAUCUAUGGUUCGUAAACUUCUUUUGCAGGGGAAUAAAGUGCAGGACGUGUCCUGUUUUGUAUGUACCCUGAGAAUAAGGAUCGGCUAACUCCGUGCCAGCAGCCGCGGUAAUACGGAGGAUCCGAGCGUUAUCCGGAUUUAUUGGGUUUAAAGGGUGCGUAGGUGGUUUGAUAAGUCAGCGGUGAAAGUUUGCAGCUUAACUGUAAAAAUGCCGUUGAAACUGUCGGACUUGAGUGUAAAUGAGGUAGGCGGAAUGCGUGGUGUAGCGGUGAAAUGCAUAGAUAUCACGCAGAACUCCGAUUGCGAAGGCAGCUUACUAAGCUACAACUGACACUGAAGCACGAAAGCGUGGGGAUCAAACAGGAUUAGAUACCCCGGUAGUCC
rnacentral:rRNA from 1 species